AUUGAACGCUGGCGGCAUGCCUUACACAUGCAAGUCGAACGGUAACAGGUUAAGCUGACGAGUGGCGAACGGGUGAGUAAUGUAUCGGAACGUGCCCAGUCGUGGGGGAUAACUGCUCGAAAGAGCAGCUAAUACCGCAUACGACCUGAGGGUGAAAGCGGGGGAUCGCAAGACCUCGCGCGAUUGGAGCGGCCGAUAUCAGAUUAGGUAGUUGGUGAGGUAAAGGCUCACCAAGCCGACGAUCUGUAGCUGGUCUGAGAGGACGACCAGCCACACUGGGACUGAGACACGGCCCAGACUCCUACGGGAGGCAGCAGUGGGGAAUUUUGGACAAUGGGCGCAAGCCUGAUCCAGCCAUGCCGCGUGCGGGAAGAAGGCCUUCGGGUUGUAAACCGCUUUUGUCAGGGAAGAAAAGGUUCUGGCUAAUACCUGGGACUCAUGACGGUACCUGAAGAAUAAGCUCCGGCUAACUACGUG
rnacentral:rRNA from 1 species